UACGUAGGGUCCAAGCGUUGUCCGGAUUUAUUGGGCGUAAAGAGCUCGUAGGCGGUUCCGUAAGUCGGAUGUGAAAACUCGGGGCUCAACCCCGAGACGCCAUCCGAUACUGCGGUGACUUGAGUCUGGUAGGGGAACACGGAAUUCCUGGUGUAGCGGUGAAAUGCGCAGAUAUCUGGAGGAACACCGGUGGCGAAGGCGGCAUCCUGGACCGACACUGACGCUGAGGAGCGAAAGCCAGGGGAGCAAACGGG
rnacentral:rRNA from 1 species